rnacentral:snoRNA from 2 species
AAGACUAUACUUCACAGGAUCAUUUCUGUAGUCAGUCUUCAAUUACUUUCAUUGCAAAAUGAAAAAUCACACACCUGCGAUGAGGAGGUACAUCGUUUUAUCUGUAGCGUGAGGUUUUGAACUUUGUCCUUUAUUUUAUGCCAUUCUCUGGAAUUGGCAUAGUUGGGACAAUGUUUCUUCGAUGAUCGCUCGAUUAAACAGAUAAAACGACUUCUGAGUGGU